GUUCCGCUGCCUUUAAGUGCCGGGACGACGCCGUGUUUUUGCUUUGGGGGAACCUUUGUUCCGUCUUUGGUUCCCGCCGGAAAAGGGAGGGGCUGCACUACUUCUGGUCCGUUCCGCCCUCCUUCCGCCUUGGGCCAUGUGGGACGCCGACGAAGUGGCGGCCGUCUGCUACCACCAUUAUGAAGCGCGGCUGCCGAAGCAGGGGAAGCCGGGACGCGGCACGCACGAGUGGACUGAGUUGGCGGCGGUGCUGCGGGUGGAGCGAGCGGAAGGUGGCGGGCCGCCUCCCGCCGUGAAGGAAGUCGUGGCCAUGGGAACCGGCACGAAGUGUAUCGGCCAGUCCGAGAUGAGGGAGACGGGGGACGUCCUCAACGACAGUCACGCGGAGGUGGUGGCCAAGAGAAGCUUCCAGAGGUAUCUUAUUCAUCAACUUUGGCUAGCUGCUGUAGGUCAGGAACCUAGCAUUUUCACCCCUGGAACCAAAAAAGGGAAAUGGCUUCUCAAACCAUUUAUCAGCUUUGUUUUUUUCACCAGUCGCACACCUUGUGGGGAUGGCUCCAUUAUUCCAAUGAUGGAAAUGGAUGCCCAUCCAUGUUUGCUCCUGAGCCCCAAAAAAGUACCCAAAAUGGACAGCAGUGACUGUAGGGCACAAGAGAGCUAUAAAAGGGAGAUUGAAGAAACAGUCACUGGUUCCUCUCCCAAGAAACCAAGAAUGGAUGCUAGCAAUUCUAUCAGUAAUUCAGAGUUUUCAGCCCUUAGAGGAACCCAAAUAGUGGAUCUGCAUAGAACAGGGGCCAAAUGUGUCAAAGGAGAAACAACGGAUUCCCGAAGGCCAGGCAUUGAAUAUCAUACCAUAGGGCUUCUACGGAUCAAGCCAGGCCGAGGAGCCCAGACAGCCUCCAUGUCUUGUAGUGAUAAACUGGCACGCUGGAAUGUUCUUGGCUGGCAGGGAGCACUUCUGAUGCAUUUCCUUCAACAGCCUAUCUACCUGCCAGCUCUGGUGGUGGGUCAGUGCCCCUACAGUUGGGAAGCUCUGCACCGAGCCAUUGUGGCAAGGUGUCAUCUAGUCUCACAUUUGCCAGAUGGUUUCCAGGUUCAAGAGUUGAAAAUUCUACAGUCCCGGCUAGGUUUCAUUCAUGGUCGUGAAGCAGCCAAGUCUGGCCAUGUUCUAGGACAAGGAAAGUUAGUGUCCUGUGGCACAGCUAUCAGUUGGAGUGCUGUUCCAGAACAUCCAUUAGAUGUCACUUCACAUGGUUUUAAACAAGGGACUUCCAAGAAAAGGAUUGGGAGCUUAGCAUCCAGGUCUCGAAUUUGCAGAAUGGAACUUUUCCAUGCUUUUCUAGAGGUGGUGGCCAGCAUUCCUCUGAAAAACCUACCAGAAACUCUCACGUAAGACUUUUAAUUUUCCCAAGACUUGUUAUGACAUCACCUUAUUCUCUUCUCAGAUCAUGGGUCAUUUCAGGGUUUCUUUCUCUCCUAUAUUUAACGCAUCCACUUUUUGGUUUUCAAUUGCUGUGCAUCGUAUGUUUUGCUCUGUUUGCUGUUUUGAACCCGAAUGUGCACAUGAAGGCUUUAAAGAUCAGUUUCUUUAUACUGUGUCUUCCCUGUUGGGAGUGCUGCUUUGCCUCAUGCCCACAGCAGCCUAGCUUUUCUUGUCUCUUACCAUCCCAAAUCUACCCGAUAGAGCAGUAAAUCUUUCUAAGGGAUUGACUUUGGGUAUGAUGGAGUGAUAGUGCAUUCCUUUUUGGUCAUGUGCUAUUCAUGUUUUCACUAUCCCUGCCUUUUUCAAAAAUAUUUUUCGAAACUAUCACUUGCCCUAGACACAUUUCCAUGGUGAGCAGGCAGCUACUUUCUGCUUUAUAUUAGCACGAGAUUAGAUGAAAUCUAAACUACCGAAGAUAGAGGAUUUUAUUUUAUUUUUUCUGCUUCUGAGAAGGCAAAUAUUUUUUUUUGUAGUCCUUGAAGGUUGACAACUGUCACUUUCAAUACAGGUAGUUCUUGGGUUACAAUGGCAGUUAGGGCUGGAAUUUACAUUGCUAAGCAAUGUGAUAACAAUCCUGGCUCUCCCCAUUGCCAUUAUUAAGCAAGGACCUUGUGGGAUGGCAACUUGCAGUUUCAUGCUGGCUUCCAAGAAGCAGAGUCAGUGGGAAAGUUGACAGGAAGCCACAAGUCUCAGCAGCUCACAAACAGGCUGCUAUACAGGCGAGUUAUGCAGUGUAGGCGAGGGUCAUACAGCUAAUAAAAUGUGAGUGUAAACUAAUAUAAAUUAGGAAGUAUUUAGAAAACCUUAGGUGCCCCUGUAGAGCUUUUCUUUCCAAACUUUAGUGAAACUGAGCCUGCUUUUGUCCACCUUCAGUUUCUUUUCAAGGCAGUGAACACUCACCCCGGAUUAAGGCCCUAUUCUGUAGUUUUUUCUGUGCAAGAGGCAGAACUGCCAGUGAGCUUUCCCCCUAUAUACAGUAACAUCUUUUAGCAAACAGAUGGUUGCAGCUUUUGGUAAGGCCCCAAGUCUGCUACGAAAGGAGCAGGAGUUCAUCCCAAGUGUCACUUGCUCUCUUUAGAGCCAAGAGACUGCGGACAUACUGGGAGUACAAAGAAGCUGCUGCUUCAUACCAAGAGGCAUGGAAGGAACUGCGUAGUCAGGCCUUUGGUGCCUGGGUGAGGAGCAGCCGCCAUUACCAGUAUUUCACAUGAAGGAACAGAGUGACUGUGUCUGACUAUCACUUACGCAUCUCUCAGCUGUUUGGCACAAUUAAUGUUUUUUUUUUUAAAAAAAAUCAUAGCCAAUACUAAGAACAUGUCAGUGCUUUUGGCACUAUUCCUCUGAAAGUAAUGUUUUCCUCCAAAACACAUUGGGAAGAUUUUGGAAUAAAGUAUAUGUACUCCUUUCCUUCUGCUUGGCUGAGUGUUUAUAUUCUGUUGAUCCACAAUUUUUGGUGAAAAUUUGAGGCUACACACAUCCCCAUCCUGAAAACAGGACAACAUUCUGAAUUUGCAAAGAAGGCAUAUACAGUUUUUCUUGCUGCCCUCUGGACUUGGAAGCUUAAUAAUACUAUAAUAACUCUCACCUCCACACCCCUUCAAUAUUUACUCCCUGGAUUGUUCUUUCUCCAUGUUGGUUUUAAGAAUAUAAUUUUUGACAGAGCCUUAAUGAAUUGUGAUCACCGUUACCAGCCUGUACUAUCAUAUUGCCACUGUGAUAGUAAUGUGGGAUUGUAAUAGGGGAUGUUCACUUAUCAAGAGGCUGCAAAUUUCAGAGUUGUGAUAAUUGUAAAGACUAACAACAUGAAACAAGUUCUCUCAAACCUCCAAACUCAAAAGCGGUCCCAAUCUCAAACUGAUAUGCAGCAGGAUACUAAUGAACAGAUAGUGACAGAUUUGAGGAAGAUCAAACAAAAAUUGGAGUGUAUAUUGUAUCCAUGUACAGCAGGACUAUUGACAUCCAAAGUACCUUAGAAAUAUUCCUUAUUUACAAGAACUUCUAGUAGUAUUGGUGGAAAAUCAAGUUAUAUUACCAUUGUUGUAAUUAUCAAGUCAGAAGGCUACAAGAUUUGAUGGAAUAUAUUUGGAAAUAUAGCAAGCAACAGAAGAAUCAGUAAAGUCUGUAGAACCAAACCAUAUUAGCAAAUCUGGAGCUCACAGAUUGUUAGAGGUUGGUUGACGUAUCAGUAUUAAAGAAGACUUAAGUAAUUGUGCAAACCCUCAUAUAGUUCCUUAACGCUUAGAAUGAGUUCAGUUUAGAGUCCUGCAUGAAAAAAGAAAGUCCAGAUGUUAAGCUGACCCUAGGAAAAAAACGGGAACAGACAUUGUUGCUGAUGCACACAGUAUAAUUGAGAAAGUCUGAAAAUAACCAAAAAUAGUCAAUAUGUUUCAAUGACUAUGGAAAGGUGUGCAAUUGUGUCAACUAAGUCAAGCUGUGGAAUGUCCUUAGGAAGAAUUCCAAAACAAUAUUUGUCUUCAUGUGAAACGCACAGGGUAGGAAAUGACAAUCCAGAUUGUGAAACAGACUGGUUUCAGUUUGGGUUAAGGACAAGGACAGAGACAACAAAGAUGAUGACCCUGAUUCCAAAUUUCCUCCCAGCCCGAGAGUGCUACGCUUCCAAGAAAGAUCUGCAUGACCUGCAGCAAGGGCAAUCCACUCAGCACAGGCUUCAUUUAAAAAGCAUCAUUGCCAGCCUUUCUCUGAGAAAACUCCUUGGAACCUGCAACAGUUGAUGAUCUGCCUUUGGAUUUUUUGGAAUGUGAACUGUGACUUGAUGCACCUUUUCCUUUGGGCUUGGACUAAGUGCACUAAAGUUAGUAAAUAGAAUUUGGAACUGUGGUUGUGUGCAUACAGAACCAGUUAGCCCUGCUUCUGAGUUAAGACAGGGUAAAACUUACACAUGUGUAACUUGAGGUAGAAUAUAUAUUGAAAAGAUGAGAUUACAAUUUAAUUACAAAUACCAAUUUAAGGGCAACAAGGAUAGCAAGCAGCUUUAGAGUGCUUUAGACAAUGAACACUGAAUAGUUUCAGCUUUGACUGGCCUAUCAACUAAAGGAAUGGGCAGUUAGGAUAUAUAGCAGACUAGUACUUGGUAGGGUAAAAUGAAGUCAUUGGUACAUACGCACAAAUGAAACCAGUUGCCUCAAGUAGAGGGGAAGAGUUUCAGGCAGAGAUACUAUAUUUAAGAUAAAAUGAUCGACUAUUCAGCUGAAUAAACAAUUUAAGGUUCAUCUCCUACAGGAGUAAAAAUAAUUUUGCAACCUCCCUAGGGUGUCCCUGAAUGAUUUUAUAUUGUCUGAAAAAUGUCUUUUGUAUGCUUAAUCUUAAAAUGCUAUUUUAUU